AGUGCUGCUUCAUCUUGGGGAUUCCCUCGCACCUCAUGUCUCUGUUCUCAGGCCCCAUCUUGUUUGAACUCACUGGGUAAAAAAAGCACUGGUUUGUAGUGUUUGCCAAUUUCUCCAACACUGGCCAAUUUCAAGCUACCAACAUGAAGUAUGCUGGGAAGAGAUGAACACGGUCCGCUCCCCCAGGCCACUGUGAGCCUCUCCAGCACACCAUGGGGGAUCGGACUUAUUUAUUUUAAAACUAAGAGGUUAUACCUUUUGACGAAGAAGAGGGAGAAGAGGAGGAGGAGGAGGAGAAGAAGAACUCUCUAGAUUGGGAAAUACUGUUUCUGCUAUCAAUAAAUUUUCUU